CGUGGAGAGGGAAACAACCCAGACCGCCAGCUAAGGUCCCAAAUUACAGCUAAGUGGGAAACGAUGUGGGAAGGCUUAGACAGCUAGGAUGUUGGCUUAGAAGCAGCCAUCAUUUAAAGAAAGCGUAAUAGCUCACUAGUCGAGUCGGCCUGCGCGGAAGAUGUAACGGGGCUAAGUUGUAAACCGAAGCUGCGGCAAUGUUCUUUGAACAUUGGG
rnacentral:rRNA from 1 species